rnacentral:rRNA from 1 species
UACGAAGGGGCUAGCGUUGUUCGGAAUUACUGGGCGUAAAGCGCACGUAGGCGGAUAUUUAAGUCAGGGGUGAAAUCCCGCAGCUCAACUGCGGAACUGCCUUUGAUACUGGGUAUCUUGAGUAUGGAAGAGGUGAGUGGAAUUCCGAGUGUAGAGGUGAAAUUCGUAGAUAUUCGGAGGAACACCAGUGGCGAAGGCGGCUCACUGGUCCAUUACUGACGCUGAGGUGCGAAAGCGUGGGGAGCAAACAGG